rnacentral:rRNA from 1 species
GGCGGCGUGCUUAACACAUGCAAGUCGAGCGGAAAGGCCCUUCGGGGUACUCGAGCGGCGAACGGGUGAGUAACACGUGAGUAACCUGCCCCUGACUCUGGGAUAAGCCCGGGAAACUGGGUCUAAUACCGGAUACGACACGCUUCCGCAUGGGAUGCGUGUGGAAAGUCUUUUCGGUUGGGGAUGGACUCGCGGCCUAUCAGCUUGUUGGUGGGGUAACGGCCUACCAAGGCGACGACGGGUAGCCGGCCUGAGAGGGCGACCGGCCACACUGGGACUGAGACACGGCCCAGACUCCUACGGGAGGCAGCAGAGGGGAAUAUUGCGCAAUGGGCGGAAGCCUGACGCAUCUACGCCGCGUGGGGGAUGACGGCCUUCGGGUUGUAAACCUCUUUCAGCAGGGACGAAGUUGACGUGUACCUGCAGAAGAAGCGCCGGCUAACUACGUGCCAGCAGCCGCGGUAAUACGUAGGGCGCAAGCGUUGUCCGGAAUUAUUGGGCGUAAAGAGCUCGUAGGUGGCUUGUCGCGUCGGAUGUGAAAGCUUGGGGCUUAACUCCAGGUCUGCAUUCGAUACGGGCUGGCUAGAGGUAGGCAGGGGAGAACGGAAUUCCUGGUGUAGCGGUGAAAUGCGCAGAUAUCAGGAGGAACACCGGUGGCGAAGGCGGUUCUCUGGGCCUUACCUGACGCUGAGGAGCGAAAGCGUGGGGAGCGAACAGGAUUAGAUACCCUGGUAGUCCACGCCGUAAACGUUGGGCGCUAGGUGUGGGGGACCUUCCACGGUUUCCGCGCCGUAGCUAACGCAUUAAGCGCCCCGCCUGGGGAGUACGGCCGC